rnacentral:lncRNA from 1 species
CGAUGAUGAAAGCGCAGAAUUGAAAGAAACGCCCCAAGUCGAGAUUAGUUUGUUUGACAAGGGGCAAGGCUGAGCCAAUAGCGAGGAGGCCGACUGGAAAUUGAUAGAUUAGUGAAAGGCUUUUUAAUACAGUUUGUUAUUAUAGUUCUUCGGGCGAUUGCUCGUUCAAUUAGGAACGAUUGUCCCAACUUUGCAAAAUAUUUGCACUCAGGACUAAUAACAUGUUUUGACCCGGAGUUCUGCCCAAAGGACACAAUGACAGCUGAAGUCUUUAGGUUCUCACCAAGACUGCACAAUUAAGGACAUCAUGUUGGGUGAAUUAAUAAAUAGAGUUGGAAUGUUGACGUUUGUUGAAGAAGCCAUCCACACUAUUAUAAAUUUCUGUGAUGAUAGAACAAAUGUUUAAUAGUAGUCUUUUUAACAAUUAAACUUAAAUAUUAAACACAUUUGUAUUUUGAACGUCACAGUGUUCAUG